GGAAAGGAGGGUGAAGUCCCAUCCCCUGUCCUGAAAAGACAACUGAUAACAUUCCACACCACAAUUUCAUCACAGCCUUUCGGUUUGCAGUGGGGAGAGUUUUUCCGCUGAAUUAGCAAGUCUUUCUGUAGAAUCCAGGGACACCUCUUCUCGACCUCACCUCCGGCAGGAAAUCAAAGACCACAACCCUAUCGAGGAGACAAUGCAAUCACCUGCAGAGACUCCUGGAAGGAGAAAGACGUGAGGGGAGAUUCCUUCUCUUUACCCAGACAGUGGAGAGACAAACUAUUGGGAUACUCCAAGCCAUAUAGGGAGUCUCAUAGAUUGUUGCAAUGUCGUCUUAGCUGCCUUCGUUGACGGGAGUGGAAAUCACGCUUAUGAAGUCAAUGGAUGGGGAAAUUUCAAGGCCUGCUUCCUUCCAUAGAACUGGUGAGAUCUGAUGUUUGUUGGGCUGCUGACAACUGAAAGUAGUUCAGGAUGCAUUUUCCUGACGUUUAUUUGCUUAAAACCAGAAGGAUAUUGCAAAAUGAUGUCUUGUCAUGUCAAAAAACAUACCACAGGAACUUGAAAAUUCCAGGCAAAUCAAACACAUUGGAGUUCCAGUUCAAGUUGCCACAGCAAACGUUGAUAUCCUUGGUGCCCAGGCACAGUCUGCAGAAAGCAUGACGGGCAGCCCCGUGACUGAAACUCAGCAAAUCUGGCCAGUGCCUGGAUGGGAGAGCAGCUGGAAAAACCCAAUGGCAUGGUGUUGAGAUCGCCAGAGGAGGCCUUCUUGGUAAUUCCGCUGCCCUCAGAAGUUCAGGCUCUCUCUGUGGCAGCCCCUAAGUUGUGGGAUUCCCUCCCUACAGAGGCGCGUCUGGGAUCUUCGCUAUACAGUUUUCGGCAAAUGCUGUAGACACACCUCUUUACCUUGGCCUUUGGCUCCUGAGAUGUAUCUUUUCAGAAACCACCCUAUUCUUAUGAUAGAAAUGCGUUUUCAUUCUUUUUAGUGUUGUAUUUUCGAUUUCGUAACCUGCUCUGUGAGAGCCAGUGUGGUGUAGUGGUUAAGGUGUUGGACUAUGAGCCGGGAGACCAGGGUUCGAAUCCCCACACAGCCAUGAAGCUCCCUGGGUGACCUUGGGCCAGUCACUGCCUCUCAGCCCCAGAGGAAGGCAAUGGGAAACCACCUCUGAAUACCGCUUACCAUGAAAAGCCUCUUCGUAGGGUCACCAUAAAUCAGAAUCGAGUUGAAGGUAGUCCAUUUCCAUUUUCCAACCUGCUCUGUGGUACCUAUUGGUGAAAGGCGGGCAAUUGAUGAUGAUGAUUUUAUUGUUUUAUCACUUGUUGUUUGCUGCCCUGGGCUCCUCUGAGAGGAAGGGCAGGAUAUAAAUUUAAUAAAUAAAGAAAUAUGCAGGUGAUAGCCAGCUCUACCUCUCUUUCCCACCUGUUAAUCCUAGGGAGGGUGCAGAACUCCUGAAUAGGUGUCUGGAGACAGUUUUGAGGUGGAUAAGGGUGAGUAACCUGAAAUUUAAUCUACAGAAGAAAGGGAUGAGGAAGCCAGCUGAUCUAGAUAGAGGGGUAUAACCAGUGUUGACAGGGUUGCUCUCCUGCUGAAGGAUCAAAUUCAUCGUUUGGGGAAAUUCUGCUGGACUCUACACUAUAUGUGGAAGCGGAGCUGAGGCUGGUAUACCAACUGUGAUUCUUGCCUCAAGCAAUCCAUGUGCUCGUCAUAUCCAGGAUAGACUACUGUAAUGCACUCUAUGUGGGGCUGCCUUUGAAGACGGUUCGGAGAUUUCCAAAUGGUGCAGAAUGCAGCUGCUCAGUUGCCAGUGGGUGCAUGGCUAUCAGAGCAUGCAGCACCGAUUUUGUACCGGUUGCUGAUGUGCUUCCUGGCCCAAUUCAAAGUGAUGGUGUUGGACUAUAAAGCCUUAAAUGGUUUGGGACCUGAAGAACCACCUAAGCCAAUGCAAGCCUGCCCGAGUAUUACGUUCUACCCAAGAGGCUCAGUUGUUUUGGUUGGUGAUCACAUGGGAUCAUGAGGCCUUUUCUGUGGUGGGCGUCAGAGGUGUGCAUGGCCUCCACAGUGCCAAUGCUGAAGUGGGCCUUAAAAGCCUGUCUCUUUCAGCUCGCUUUCUCUUAUAGGUUGCUCUGUCAGAACUGAUUUAGUGCAGAUGGUUCUGUUGGUUGGAUGGUAAUUUAUAUGAAUGCUUGUUAAUUGUUUUUACUGAUCUAGUGUUCUUAGUUAACAUUUUUUGCCAUUAUCUAUGUUAUAUUAUUGAAUGUCUGCGUUGUUUUAUUUUGUUGUGACCUGCUCAGGGCAGGCUAGGCUCAGAAGGAUAGCAUACAGAUGAUGCUCAUUAAUAUAGAUAUAGUCAGUAAAUUUAACAAAGUGUACCAAAGGAAAGGUUUUGCAAUAUUUCUGGAAUAUUUUAGGUUGAGAAGGAUGUACUGACCAUCCCCUUAUCUCUGUACCGAGCAGAAAACACAUUCCUUGAAAUGAACAAGAAGUACAUUCCCAGCUUUUGCCUCUAACACAGAGUAUGUGUGGUUUCCCCUUGCCCAUGACAGCAAGGGUUUAAUCUAGCUCUUUACGGCAAUCAAAGCCACAAUUGGCCCCUAGGCUAUAUGCCCCCAUCCACUCCGUAGCAACUCAGCUCCUCCCAUAAGAAGAGACUGGCUGCUGGAUCCGGCCAGUGGCCCAUCUCGUCCAGCAUCCUGUUCUCAUGGUGGCUGACCAGGUGCCUAUGGGAAGCCUGCAAUCAAGACCUGAGUGCAAACAGCACUCUCCCCUCCUGUGGCUUCCGGCAACUGGUAUUCAGGAGCAGACUGCCUCUGAUCAUGGAGGCAGAGCACAAGGGUCUCUCCUACAGUGAGCUUCUAGCAGUUGAAUCUGCUUGUUUUCCUCUUCCUUCCCUGUCCUUUCCCCUACUUUUGUAUCAUGUCUAUCAUACAGUAGGGCCCUGCUUUACAGCGCUUUGCUAAUGCAGCGGUCUCAAUUAGAUGCAGUUAGACUAAAGCCCCACUCAUACGGCGCUUGUUCCGCUUUUACAGCGGUUUUCAGGCAUUGUGCACCAUUCUAUUAAAUGAGUUCUGCUUUUCAGCGGUUUUCACUUUACAGUGGGGGUCUGGAAUGUAACCCGCCAUAUGAGUGGGGCCCUACUGUAUUCUUAAAACGUUGCUUUAUACCAUAAACUUCCUUGGGUACAUUGACAGAAAGACAGUACAUAUGGAUAGUAAGCAAGCAAGCAGGGGAUCUUUCUGGCAGAUUUCAAACCUCCAAAAAGGCAUCUCGGCCCUCUCUGAAUAAAGAAGGGCCUAGAGGUGUCUGGGUUGAAUGUGCAUGUCUGUUUGCACUGUCAGGCCUCAUUCAUUUGGGGGUCUGCUCCCCACAACGGUUAGUGUGUGUUCCCCCCAAGCUUUUCAGCAGGGUAAAUACAUCCCUCAGCCUCCCAAAAAGGUUCCCCACUCCUGGCAUUGGAAGUCAUGGUCGUGUAAGAGUUAUCAAUAUUUUUUUCUGAAAUCAACUGGGACUUUUAAGACCAUCCAUUCACAGAAAUAUUGAACAGGAAUAGGUGCCCAAAGACAUCCCUGUUCAACUCUUUAUUUGUUUUCUAUUCUAUUACAUUUAUUUGAUUUCAUAGAAUCAUAGAAUAGUUGAGUUGGAAGGGUCCUGUAAAGCCAUUGAGUCCAACCCCCUGCUCAAGGCAGAAAUCCCAUUUAAAGCAUCCCUGAUAAGAGGCUGCCCAGCUGCCUCUUGAAUGCCCCAGUGUUGGAGAGCCCACCUACCACCACCCCAGGUUUGUAACCAGCUUUUACAGGUGUGGUCUCAAAGCAGCUUGUGGUGUGUAUGAAAUACAAUUAAAUCUUCCGAGUGAAAAAUGAGUAAUACUCAUGGAAAUGCGGUCAGUUCAGGGUGGAACUGGGGAGAGUGAAAAGGAGGUUUUGCUUCUGCAAAGAUAUCCGAGAAAGGAAGCAAUUAAGCAAAAGCAGGGCUCCAACUCCCAAUUUCUUCCCCAUCCCAAAAAAGAACCUCAGCAUUAUUUUUAUGCUGAGACACAUGACCUCAAAGCAUCCUUUGCCAACCUGGCACCCUCCAGAAGUUAUUGAACAACUCCCAUCAUCCCCCAACAACAUCUGGAGGGCACCAGGUUGGCAAAAGAUGUCCUAAAGGCAAGGUGGGACCUGCUGACCUCAACAACUUUUCACUUAGUUGCUAAUUACAGCUGAGCCUCUUUGAGGCAGAAUAGCACAAGUUGAUGAAAGACAGCCUAAUUUCAAAAGCUAGCUGGGUCCCAUUGUGCAGGUGUGAAGGUGAACAAAGGCUGUUAACCUCCAUUUUCCCUAGACAGGUCAUUGCUCAGGAUUAUCACCUGAAAGCUGUGAUGAGCCCAGUGAUAUGGAAAAAAAGCCUUUAGAGGCAAGAAGGCUUCCUUGAAAGAACUGAAGUCUUGUCCGAAGGAGGAGAACAAAAAGGAACACAACCUUUGGCAAAAGAAAUGAAAGCAGAUAGUAAGGGAUGCUAAAAAAAGAAUGUGGGGAGCACAUUGCUAAAAACAUAAAGACCAUUAACAAAACAUUAUUUAAAUACAUUAGUAGCAGAAGCCUGUCUAGGAUGGCUUGGUAGGCUGUUGGACCCUUUAUUUUAUUUAUUUAUUUUAUUUAUUACAUUUGUAUACUGCCCCAUAGCUGAAGCAGUUUACAACAAUUGAAUGACAAGGGAGUUAAAGAUGUGCUAAAAUAAGAUAAGGAGAUUGCAGAGAAGCUGGAUGCAUUACUGGCAUCUGUCUUGAAGAUAUAGGGCAGAUCCCUGUGCCUCAUCUAACAUUUGGAGGGAGUCUGAGUGGUGCCGCGAAAUAAAGUUCUAGAUUUGAAGUGGAAGUGGACUGCCUUCAAGUCAAUCCCAACUAAUGGCGACCUUAUGAAUAGGGUUUUCAUGGUAAGCGGUAUUCAGAGGUGGUUUACCAUUGCCAGAG